ensembl:lncRNA mucin-5AC-like
ACAGAAGAUACAGUGACAACAACAACAGGCCUAGUAGAGUCUGCUACUACACCCAAAGUUUCAAUAUUUGUACCAGUGACAUCAUCAUUGCCAGCAACUGCAUUGGGCACAACCACCGCUGCAACUGUUAGCAAUGAAUUGGAAACAAUCAGGAUAACUACAACAGAAGAUACAGUGACAAAAACAACAGGCCUAGUAAAGUCUGCUACUACACCCAAAUAUUCUACUUUUGUACCAGUGACAUCAGCAUUGCCAGCAACUGCAUUGGGUACAACCACAGCAGCAACUGUUAGCAAUGAACCAGAAACAUUCAGAAUAACUACAACAGAAGAAACAAUGACAACAACAACAGGUCUAGUAGAGUCUGCUAUUACACCCAAAGAUUCUAAAUUUGUAUCAGUAACAUCAACAUUACCACCAACUGCAUUGGACACAACCAGAUCAGCAACUGUUAGAGAAGAACCAGAAUCAACCACAACUACUCAAGCUAAGGUUUUGUCUACUGUAUUACAUUCUGUGGCAGUAGAUACAGCCACAACAGCAGUCCUUGAAGAGUCUGCUACUGCACCCAAAACUUCAACCUUGGUACCAGUGACAUCUCAAGUCACAACAGAACCCUCACCAGCCCAAAACGAAACUACAACAUUAAUGUCAGUGAAGCCAGUAACAGUGGCUCAUACCUUAGAAGUUUCCAACACUGCCAAAAGUGUGACACAAGAACCUAAAACACAUGCUGACAGUGGUUCUUCAUCAGCAGGAAUAAGUACAUUAAGAGAAUCUGGUAUAACAGAAUCAACAUUUGCUCCAACUACAACAGCACAAAUAACAGAGGCAUCAUCACCUUUAACUGAAGCAAGUGAAGUAAAGACAACAACUGCAAGAACAUCCAGAUCUACAGAAUCAUCAGCGGAAACCCAAAUAACAAGUGCAACCAUUGCACCAUCAGCAGGAGUGACAUCAGCAUUGCCAGCAACUGCAGCAGGGACAACCACAGCAGCAACUGUUAGAAAUGAACCGGAAACAAUCAGGACAACUUCAACAGAAGAUACAGUGAUAACAACAGGCCUAGUAGAGUCUGCUACUACACUCAAAGCUUCAACCUUUGUACCAGUGACAUCAGCUUUUCCAGCAACUGAAUUGGGCACAACCACAUCAGCAACUGUUAGCAAUGAACUGGAAACAAUCAGGAUAACUACAACAGAAGAUACAGUGACAACAACAGGCCUAGUAGAGUCUGCUACUACACUCAAAGCUUCAACCUUGGUACAGGUGACAUCAGCAUUGCCAGCAACUGCAUCGAGCACGACCACAGCAGCAACCGUUAGCAAUGAACCAGAAUCAACCAAGACUACACUAGCUCAAGUUUCAUCUACUGUGAUACAUUCUGUGGCAGUAGGUACAGUUACAACAACAACAUCAACAACAAGCUUUGUAAAGUCUGCUACUGCACCAAAAGCUUCAACCUUUGUACCAGUGACACCAGCAUUGCCAGCAACUGCAUCAAGGACAACAGCAGCAGCAACUGUUAGAAAUAAACCAGAAUCAACCAAGACUACACUAGCUAAGGGUUCAUCUACUGUAUUAAAUUCUACAACAGUAUAUACAACAACGUUGACAACAACAACAACACUAACGUCAGUAAAGCCAGUAACAGAGGCUCAUACCUCAUAUGUGUCCACUGUAGCACCAACAACAGAGGGCACAAAUACUGAUCCUCCUACCCUUGACGAGGGAAGCAUAUACUUAAGAUUCAGUCUAAAUGAAACUUUCAGUGAAAUAUAUAACAACCACUCAUCCCCUGAAUUCAUUGCAUUGGCAUCCCAUGUGGUAACUGUGAUAAACAGAAUUUACAGGGCAAGCAAUCUCAGAGGAUACAGGCGAUGCAGAGUCAACUCUUUCGUGAGGGGCUCCAUUAAAGUUGAUAUGACUCUUAUCUUUGAGAAUUCUUCUACAGUCCCAAGCUCAUUUAAGGUAGAGGAAAUUCUUAAUGGGACCGCUGUGAAUGGUACCAUACUUUUGGACAUCAUACUUGAUACUAUCAAAGCAGGGGAAGUAGUUACUUCUAGUACACCACCGCCUGCCACAAAUGCAACUUUUGAAUCUACCACCACGAAAUCGAGUACCAAUGAGUACUCAAUCACCACGUCUGGUGCCUUUCCAUGGAUGGUACGCUGUUCACUAAUGACUAUAUCUCCAGC